rnacentral:rRNA from 1 species
AGAACGAACGCUGGCGGCAUGCCUAAUACAUGCAAGUCGAACGAACUCUUCGGAGUUAGUGGCGCACGGGUGCGUAACGCGUGGGAAUCUGCCCCUUGGUUCGGAAUAACAGUUGGAAACGACUGCUAAUACCGGAUGAUGACGAAAGUCCAAAGAUUUAUCGCCAAGGGAUGAGCCCG